rnacentral:rRNA from 1 species
AUGAACAAGCCCGAUCGGGCCUGAACAAGCCCGAUCCCAUCUGAUCUCAGAAGUUAAGAAAGGUCGGGCCUGGUUAGUACUUGGAUAGGAGACCACCUAGGAAGACCAGGUGCUGUAAGCU